GAUCUGCACGCAAGAUUUGAUCCUGAAAUUUCCGAAUGCGAAAACGUGUUUAAUCUGAGAAGAUAAUAUACACUGGGAAUUGAAACAUCUUAGUACCAGCAGGAAAAGAAAAUAAAUAAUGAUGUCCUUAUUAGCAGCGAGCGAAAAGGAUAGAGGGCAAGCUGAAUCUCCUUUUGAAAAGAAGGUAGAGAUGUGGUUGAGUAGUUCUAAGUUGACGAGUUAAAGUUAUCUGGAAAGAUAUACCUUAGAGGGUGAUAGUCCCGUAAACUUUGUUGAUAUGAAUGAUCCUAAAAGAGUAGUAUAUCCUAGAUUGGAUGUAUGAAUACAGCGGAAUUAACCGCUAACCCUAAAUAUUAUUGUAAGUCCGAUAGUGAACUAGUACCGCGAGGGAAAGCUGAAAAGUACUCAUAACAGAGAGUUAAAAGACUUGAAAUCUAACAGUUACAGUUGGUUACUGCUCUUCGGAGUUGUAACGUACGUCUUGAAAAACGGGCCAGGGAGUUUAUUUAAGUGGCGAGGUUAACAUUAGGAAGCCAUAGCGAAAGCAAGUAUGAAAAUGCGUUAGUCACUUGGAUAAGAUCUGAAGCCAGAUGAUCUAUUCAUGAGCACGGUGAAGUUUUCCGAAAGGAAAAUGGAGGCCGGAACUGUUGUUGCGUGCAUGCACUCAGACGACUUGUGAUUAGGGGUGAAAAGCCAAUCUAAUCUGGCAAUGGCUGAUUCCCGUUGAAAUAUGCCUACGUAUAGUCUCGUUAUAAUUAUUUUCUUACGGCGUAAAGGACGGAUUGGUCGUGCAGAACGCUUUUGUUACGGCGAACAUUCCAACUCAGAAAUUGUAAGAUGUAUAUAACGGGAAACAGUGGGGGCGCGUAAGGUGCUUCUACGAGACCCGAACAAGGGAGACUAGCGUUAAGGUCCCAAAAUGUAUGUUAAGUGUAUCAAAAGGAGUCUUAAACCUGAGACACUGGGGAGGUAGACAUAGAAGCCGUCAUCCUUUAAAGAAAGCGUAACAGCUCACCUAUUGAGGUUUGAGGCCCUGAAAAUGGACGGGGCUAAAACAUACUACCGAUACGUUAGAGGCACUUCUUUAGAAGUGUUCUGGUAAACGGGCGUCUUUUCGGCGCAGAAGUUUUUCCGAGAGGAAAGGUGGAGCCGGAAGGAAUGAGAAUCCUGGCAGGAGUAAGAACAAAUCACACUGAGAACUGUGUGAGGUCGUAAGAGCAAGGUUUCCUUGGCAAUAUCAAUUAACCAAGGGUUAGUCAGCACCUAAGUUGUACCUUAACCGGCUAUGACGAUGGACAGCAGGUUAAUAUUCCUGCACUAUUGAAGUUUUACGUAAUGGUUUGCUUCCGGAUAGGCGUUCAUUCGAAAGAAUGGUGUUGCAAAAAAAGAUAGGGAGGGUAAUCCUUAGAUCUAUCAGAAUUUGUAACGUGAAAAUCGCCGAUUCCAGGAGACAGUGAAAAGACUAAUAUUUUAUUCGCUUCAAUAGCUGUACCCAGAAUCGACACUGAUGCUCUAGCUGAGAAGGCUAAGACCUGAAAGUUUAAUCUUGUUAAGGGAAUUCGGCAACAUUAGCUCUUUAGCUUCGGUAUAAGGAGUGUCUAUAUUUGUCUCGUUAGAAAUGGUGAGGCAUUCGUAGAUCUCAGUAACAAAGAUGGUUCGACUGUUUAUCAAAAACAUAUCCGGUUGCUAAUCCGAAAGGACUUGUAUAACCGGUGAGACCUGCCCAGUGGUGGUGUCUGAAACCGUGUUUCAACGCGGCUAAGGUCCAUCAAACGGCGGGCCUAAUUCCUGAGGCUCUUAAGGUAGGCAUUUACAUUGCCUUACGGAGUUGUAAAUUUAUUUACAGCGACGCUAUGUAGCUUCAGAAUUACGAAUCAUUUGAAACUAAAGAAAACUAAUUCAUUAAAUAAAAAGUGUUUAAGGCACUUUAAAUUUUAUGAUCGAAUUAAACCAUAACUAGAGGUCGAAAGACUUUUAGUUGACAACAUAGAAAAUUUGGCUAUAUGCUGGAAANNNNNNNAUGGUUAGUACUUCUUGAUUUAUCGAGGAGGAAAGUAACAGAUAUGAGCGUAAUACCUUGUCGUAUGAAUUGCGACUUGCAUGAAUGGUUUAACGAAAUUGUCACUGUCCCUAACAAGAAACUUCUGAAAAUACUUCCCGGUGAACAGGCCGGGGAUACCUAAUGGGAAGCGAAGACCUUGUGGAACUUUACUAUAACUUGUUGUUGUGAAUUUAUCUUGGAUGCCCAGAAUAAGUAGGAGCGUAGAUGCCUAGUUUCGGCGAAGGCGGAGCGAAAUAUGUAAUACUACUCAUUUUUGGUAGGUUCACUUAAUCCUAUGGAUGACAGCAGCAGGCGGGCAGUUUGGCUGGGGCGGCACCCCUCUGAAAAGAUAUCGGAGCGGAAAUCUAGAGUAGAGUGUAAGAGUAAAAGCUUGUCUAACUGUUUUCCAAACAGUACGGAAAGCAGAAUUGAAAGAUGGGUCUAGCGAACCAUAGUGGUCAUUUAAUGGGACCCUAUUGUGAUAGAAAAGUUACCCCAAGGAUAAUUGGGUUGUCUCGCUUGAUAGUUCAAAUUGACAGCGAGGCUUGCUACACCGCUGUCGGCUCUUCCUAUCCUGGUCGUGCACAAGCGGCCAAGGGUGCUGGAGUUCACAUAUUAAAAGGAAUCGUUAGCUGGGUUAAGAUCGUCGUGAGACAGAUUGUAUGAUAUCUAUUAGGUAUGUUGUUGUUUGAGUGGAAGGAUCCCUCAGUACGAGAGGAACGGGGGUUCGUAGCCUCUGGUGUAACAAUUGUUAUGAGCAAGUUGUGCAGCUACGCUAUAGAUGGAUAAGUGCUGAAAGCAUCUAAGCACGAAGCCAUCCGCAAAACGAAACAACUAAGGCCGUCGUAGAAGACGACGUUGAUAGAGAUGGAAUGUAAGAUUCAAGAUUUUUCGAGAAUUUCAGUUCGCAUCUACUAAAAGCCUCAAUUAAUUUUU
rnacentral:rRNA from 1 species